CUGCUUGCUGUCAGAGAAAAAUCUUCAUCUUGUCACUGAGCCAAGGGAUCAGAAGACUCCCAGAAGUCCUGAGAGACAAAUCUUUCACCAGAGUAUUUAACCAAAUGGUGCUGAUCCACUGAACCUCACAGUGCUUCCUGGUGCUGGUGGGAAUGUAGAAAGAGGACCUCUGGGAAUUCAAAGAGAAUGCAAAAAUCCAUCAUACUCCAAAGAAACUGUCCUACCCUUCAGGGUCUGAAGACAGCUGCAGCUGUCAGAGGUUUGCUGUUACUUUGAAGCAUCACGAUAAAACUGCGCUUGCUAAAUU